CUUUCCUGAUUACUCUAAUCUGCCCGCAUGCACACCUCGCCGCCAGGCGCGCCCCUCGGGCGAACCCGUGCCCGAAACCCACGGGCCGAGGGUGGGGGUCACGCGGGCGCUCCUCCUCCUCCGUGGCGGCCUGUGCGGCGAGAGCUGUCCGUUUCCUCUCCUAUUGGUCAGAAUUAAUGCGCUGGCAAACCUGUCAGUCGGGGUAGCAGGGUCGACCAAUGAGCUCGGGUCAGCUUCAGCUGAAAUUUGAAUGGGGUUCACGCUCGCCUCGUUGUAGCUCUCUAAUGGCGUGUAAUGGGAAAGCCUUGUUCCAGCUCUACGGUGGGAAAAGCUACAAUAAAGCUAGCUGUUAUGAUGGCUGUUCUACAUUGGAGAACUGGUGUGAUGAGCUAGGCUAAGGGGUUUAGUGAGUGGGCCUGGUUCCUGCUCUACAGUACAGAACUGGUGUGAUGAGCUAGGCUAAGGGGUUUAAUGAGUGGGCCUGGUUCCUGCUCUACAGUACAGAACUGGUGUGAUGAGCUAGGCUAAGGGGUUUAAUGAGUGGGCCUGGUUCCUGCUCUACAGUCUAAGGGGUUUAAUGAGUGGGCCUGGUUCCUGCUCUACAGUCUAAGGGGUUUAAUGAGUGGGCCUGGUUCCUGCUCUACAUGCUAAGGGGUUUAAUGAGUGGGCCUGGUUCCUGCUCUACACUAGGCAGGGUUUAAUGAGUGGGCCUGGUUCCUGCUCUACAGUGGAAAGGGGGGAGAUGUGUGAGCAGCACUUUCCCAUGGUGCUGUAGCUGUGUGCGCAGUGUGUGUGUCGGCUGCUCUCUCUGACUCUGGGGUCUCG